AUGCAAGUCGAACGGGCACCCGCAAGGGUGUCAGUGGCGGACGGGUGAGUAAUGUAUCGCUAACGUACCCCGGAGCCUGGGAUAGCCGGCCGAAAGGCCGGGUAAUACCAGAUGAGACCACGGCCAGGCAUCUGGCAGUGCUCAAAGCCGCAAGGCGCUCCGGGAGCGGGCGAUAUCGUAUCAGCUAGUUGGCGGGGUAACGGCCCACCAAGGCGACGACGCGUAGCUGGUCUGAGAGGACGGCCAGCCACAUCGGGACUGAGACACUGCCCGGACUCCUACGGGGGGCUGCAGUAACGAAUCUUCCGCAAUGCACGAAAGUGUGACGGAGCGACGCCGCGUGUGGGACGAAGUCCUUCGGGAUGUAAACCACUGUCAGGGGUUACCAAGUUCUGAGGAGCCCCAGAGGAAGGCACGGCUAACUCUGUGCCAGCAGCCGCGGUAAGACAGAGGUGCCGAGCGUUAGGCGGAAUCACUGGGCUUAAAGCGUGUGUAGGCGGGUCGUUAAGUGUCUUGUGAAAUCCCACCGCUCAACGGUGGAACUGCUGGGCAUACUGGCGAUCUUGAGCCACCUAGGG
rnacentral:rRNA from 1 species